rnacentral:rRNA from 1 species
CCUACGGGUGGCAGCAGUGGGGAAUAUUGCACAAUGGGCGAAAGCCUGAUGCAGCAACGCCGCGUGAAGGAAGAAGGGUUUCGGCUCGUAAACUUCUAUCAACAGGGACGAAAGAAAUGACGGUACCUGAAUAAGAAGCCCCGGCUAACUACGUGCCAGCAGCCGCGGUAAUACGUAGGGGGCAAGCGUUAUCCGGAAUUACUGGGUGUAAAGGGUGAGUAGGCGGCAUGGUAAGCCAGAUGUGAAAGCCUUGGGCUUAACCCGAGGAUUGCAUUUGGAACUAUCAAGCUAGAGUACAGGAGAGGAAAGCGGAAUUCCUAGUGUAGGAGUGAAAUCCGUAGAUAUCUGGAGGAACAUCAGUGGCGAAGGCGACUAUCUGGCACAUAACUGACGCUGAGGAGCGAAAGCGUGGGUAGCAAACAGGAUUAGAUACCCGGGUAGUC